rnacentral:rRNA from 1 species
GAGGAGAGUUCCCGGUCUAGGUUCGCCUUGUACUGGGUAACUCGAAUCUUUUUUCUGGGGAAGCAGGGUGUCCUUCACUGGGCGCUCUGGGGAACCAGGACGAUUACCUUGAGAAAAAUAGAGUGUUCAAAGCAGGCUUUUGCUUGAAUACGUUAGCAUGGAAUAAUAAAAUAGGACUUUGGUUCUAUUUUGUUGGUUUUGAGGACCAAUGUC